ACUUAAAUAGUUUAAGAAAAAUUUCAAUUUGUGGAAUUGAAGAUAUGGGAGUAUCAUUUUAAGUA
rnacentral:tRNA from 1 species